rnacentral:rRNA from 1 species
UACGUAAGGGGCUAGCGUUGUCCGGAUUUAUUGGGCGUAAAGAGCGUGUAGGCGGCCAGAUAGGUCUGCUGUGAAAACUCGAGGCUCAACCUCGAGAUGUCGGCGGAAACCAUUUGGCUAGAGUCCGGAAGAGGAAAGUGGAAUUCCUGGUGUAGCGGUGAAAUGCGCAGAUAUCAGGAAGAACACCCGUGGCGAAGGCGGCUUUCUGGGACGGUACUGACGCUGAGACGCGAAAGCGUGGGGAGCGAACAGG